rnacentral:rRNA from 1 species
GGGCGAGUGGCGAACGGGUGAGUAAUAUAUCGGAACGUACCCAAGAGUGGGGGAUAACGUAGCGAAAGUUACGCUAAUACCGCAUACGAUCUAAGGAUGAAAGCAGGGGAUCUUCGGACCUUGUGCUCCUGGNGCGGCCGAUAUCUGAUUAGCUNGUUGGUGAGGUAAAGGCUCACCAAGGCCACGAUCAGUAGCUGGUCUGAGAGGACGACCAGCCACACUGGAACUGAGACACGGUCCAGACUCCUACGGGAGGCAGCAGUGGGGAAUUUUGGACAAUGGGCGAAAGCCUGAUCCAGCAAUGCCGCGUGAGUGAAGAAGGCCUUCGGGUUGUAAAGCUCUUUGUCAGGGAAGAAACCGGUGAGGGCUAAUAUCCUUACGCUAAUGACGGUACCUGAAGAAUAAGCACCGGCUAACUACGUGCCAGCAGCCGCGGUAAUACGUAGGGUGCAAGCGUUAAUCGGAAUUACUGGGCGUAAAGCGUGCGCAGGCGGUUUUGUAAGUCUGACGUGAAAUCCCCGGGCUCAACCUGGGAAUUGCGUUGGAGACUGCAAGGCUAGAAUCUGGCAGAGGGGGGUAGAAUUCCACGUGUAGCAGUGAAAUGCGUAGAGAUGUGGAGGAACACCGAUGGCGAAGGCAGCCCCCUGGGUCAAGANNNNNNNNNUCAUGCACGAAAGCGUGGGGAGCAAACAGGAUUAGAUACCCUGGUAGUCCACGCCCUAAACGAUGUCUACUAGUUGUCGGGUUUUAAUUAACUUGGUAACGCAGCUAACGCGUGAAGUAGACCGCCUGGGGAGUACGGUCGCAAGAUUAAAACUCAAAGGAAUUGACGGGGACCCGCACAAGCGGUGGAUGAUGUGGAUUAAUUCGAUGCAACGCGAAAAACCUUACCUACCCUUGACAUGUACGGAAGACCGANGAG